rnacentral:rRNA from 1 species
GUGAGGAAUAUUGGUCAAUGGACGAGAGUCUGAACCAGCCAAGUAGCGUGCAGGAUGACGGCCCUAUGGGUUGUAAACUGCUUUUAUAAGGGAAUAAAGUGAGUCUCGUGAGACUUUUUGCAUGUACCUUAUGAAUAAGGACCGGCUAAUUCCGUGCCAGCAGCCGCGGUAAUACGGAAGGUCCGGGCGUUAUCCGGAUUUAUUGGGUUUAAAGGGAGCGUAGGCCGGAGAUUAAGCGUGUUGUGAAAUGUAGACGCUCAACGUCUGCACUGCAGCGCGAACUGGUUUCCUUGAGUACGCACAAAGUGGGCGGAAUUCGUGGUGUAGCGGUGAAAUGCUUAGAUAUCACGAAGAACUCCGAUUGCGAAGGCAGCUCACUGGAGCGCAACUGACGCUGAAGCUCGAAAGUGCGGGUAUCGAACAGGAUUAGAAACCCCAGUAGUCCC